UACAGGGGGUGCAAACGUUGCUCGGAGUUAUUGGGCGUAAAGCGCGCGUAGGCGGCUACUUAUGUCGGAUGUGAAAGCCCUUGGCUCAAUUGAGGAAGUGCACCCGAAACUGAGUAGCUGGAGUACGAAAGAGGGUCGCGGAAUUCCCGGUGUAGAGGUGAAAUUCGUAGAUAUCGGGAGGAACACCGGUGGCGAAGGCGGCGACCUGGGUCGAUACUGACGCUGAGGCGCGAAAGCGUGGGGAGCAAACAGG
rnacentral:rRNA from 1 species